rnacentral:misc_RNA from 1 species
GAUGAAGAACGUAGCGAAAUGCGAUAAGUAAUGUGAAUUGCAGAAUUCAGUGAAUCAUCGAAUCUUUGAACGCACAUUGCGCCCGCCAGUAUUCUGGCGGGCAUGCCUGUCUGAGCGUCAUUUCAACCCUCAUGCCCCUAGGGCGUGGUGUUGGGGAUCGGCCAAAGCCCGCGAGGGACGGCCGGCCCCUAAAUCUAGUGGCGGACCCGUCGUGGCCUCCUCUGCGAAGUAGUGAUAUUCCGCAUCGGAGAGCGACGAGCCCCUGCCGUUAAACCCCCAACUUUCCAAGGGUGACCUCAGAUCAGGUAGGAAUACCCGCUGAACUUAAGCAUAUCAAUAAGCGGAGGA